CGGAGCGGAGAUGCUCUGGUGCCUUCGGGAGCUGUGAGACAGGUGCUGCAUGGCUGUCGUCAGCUCGUGUUGUGAAAUGUUGGGUUAAGUCCCGNAACGAGCGCAACCCUUAUCCUUUGUUGCCAUCGAUUUGGUCGGGAACUCAAAGGAGACUGCCGGUGAUAAACCGGAGGAAGGUGGGGAUGACGUCAAGUCAUCAUGGCCCUUACGGCCAGGGCUACACACGUGCUACAAUGGCGCAUACAAAGAGAAGCGACCUCGCGAGAGCAAGCGGACCUCAUAAAGUGCGUCGUAGUCCGGAUCGGAGUCUGCAACUCGACUCCGUGAAGUCGGAAUCGCUAGUAAUCGUGGAUCAGAAUGCCACGGUGAAUACGUUCCCGGGCCUUGUACACACCGCCCGUCACACCAUGGGAGUGGGUUGCAAAAGAAGUAGGUAGCUUAACCUUCGGGAGGGCGCUUACCACUUUGUGAUUCAUGACUGGGGUGAAGUCGUAACAAGGUAGGCGUAGCGAG
rnacentral:rRNA from 1 species